AUUGAACGCUGGCGGCAGGCCUAACCCGUGCAAGUCGAGCGAGCGGCGGACGGGUGAGUACUGUCUGGGAAACUGCCUGAUGGAGGGGGAUAACUACUGGAAACGGUAGCUAAUACCGCAUACAAUCAGAUGUGCCCAGAGGGGAGUUGCUGGUAGGUGGGGUAACGGAUCACCUAGGCGUCCAUCCCUAGGUUGUCUGAGAGGAUGACCAGCCACACUGGAACUGAGACACGGUCCGGAAUCCUACGGGAGGCAGCAGUAGGGAAAAUUGCACAAGGGGCGCAAGCCUGAUGCAGCCAUGCCGCUUGUGUAAAGAGGGCCUUCGGGUUGUAAAGCACUUUCAGCGGGGAGGCGUUAACCGCAGAAGAAGCCCCGGCUAACUCCGUGCCAGCAGCCGCGGUAAUUC
rnacentral:rRNA from 1 species